rnacentral:rRNA from 1 species
GCCCUACGGGAGGCAGCAGUGAGGAAUAUUGGUCAAUGGGCGCUAGCCUGAACCAGCCAAGUAGCGUGAAGGAUGACUGCCCUAUGGGUUGUAAACUUCUUUUAUAUGGGAAUAAAGUGCAGUAUGUAUACUGCUUUGCAUGUACCUUAUGAAUAAGGAUCGGCUAACUCCGUGCCAGCAGCCGCGGUAAUACGGAGGAUGCGAGCGUUAUCCGGAUUUAUUGGGUUUAAAGGGUGCGUAGGCGGAAUAUCAAGUCAGCGGUAAAAAUUC